rnacentral:lncRNA from 1 species
GGCAAGUAUUAAUGAGUUUAUGGGAAAUAAAAGAAGGCAAUUACAAGGUAGCAAUAUUCCAAGCUACUUUGUUCUCGACCUAAGAAGAAACAAUACCAAAAGUGCUAGAAACCCGAAGGGUAAUGGGCCUCACUGCUAAGAAAGAACUCGGCCUGAAAAUCCCGUCCCAAGAAGAAAGCCCGAAUAUAGUCUGGUUUUGGGUACUCGUAGGGUACACGUGUCGCAAUGCAUGUACAGGAUACUUGGCUCACACAUCUACCAAUGUUCAAAGGUCUCGUGGUGAAGUAGUCAAGGCUUAUACUCCAUAGAAAAAUAGUAGACAAAUAACUUUCUUGCUGCAAAGACCUUAGGGUCC